rnacentral:rRNA from 1 species
UAGGGAAUCUUCGGCAAUGGACGGAAGUCUGACCGAGCAACGCCGCGUGAGUGAAGAAGGUUUUCGGAUCGUAAAGCUCUGUUGUAAGAGAAGAACGAGUGUGAGAGUGGAAAGUUCACACUGUGACGGUAUCUUACCAGAAAGGGACGGCUAACUACGUGCCAGCAGCCGCGGUAAUACGUAGGUCCCGAGCGUUGUCCGGAUUUAUUGGGCGUAAAGCGAGCGCAGGCGGUUAGAUAAGUCUGAAGUUAAAGGCUGUGGCUUAACCAUAGUACGCUUUGGAAACUGUUUAACUUGAGUGCAAGAGGGGAGAGUGGAAUUCCAUGUGUAGCGGUGAAAUGCGUAGAUAUAUGGAGGAGCACCGGUGGCGAAAGCGGCUCUCUGGCUUGUAACUGGCGCUGAGGCUCGAAAGCGUGGGGAGCAAACAGGAUUAGAUACCCCGGUAGUCCACGCCGUAACGAUGAGUGCUAGGUGUUAGACCCUUUCCGGGGUUUAGUGCCGCAGCUAACGCAUUAAGCACUCCGCCUGGGGAGUACGACCGCAAGGUUG